rnacentral:lncRNA from 1 species
GAUCUCAGUCUCCGAGGCUUCCUGGCCAAAAUGGUGACUCUACUUGAAUUUUCCAGCUGAAGAAUAUGUAGUACCUUUAAAGGUUAGCAAUGACGAGCACGCU